rnacentral:rRNA from 1 species
UACGUAGGGUGCGAGCGUUAAUCGGAAUACUGGGCGUAAAGCGUGCGCAGGCGGUGAUGUAAGACAGGUGUGAAAUCCCCGGGCUUAACCUGGGAACUGCAUUUGUGACUGCAUCGCUGGAGUGCGGCAGAGGGGAUGGAAUUCCGCGUGUAGCAGUGAAAUGCGUAGAUAUGCGGAGGAACACCGAUGGCGAAGGCAAUCCCCUGGGCCUGCACUGACGCUCAUGCACGAAAGCGUGGGGAGCAAACAG